GAAAAGAGGUCACUGAAGAAAUACUGCAACCUACAGCAAGAAUGGGAGGAGGGUUGAGGUAUCUGAAGAACAGGAGCUGUUGACAAGGAAAACUGAAGGCUUUUUAAAGGAAAGAGAAAUUGCGUCAAGGAAUUCUGUCUUUUUCAUCACAGAUGCAGACCCAGCUAAAGGAAGAAGAUGACAGUGGUUAUAUCCAGCUAAGGAAAAUCUGUGAACUAUGCUGCCUGCAGAGCAAAGCACCAAAGCAUGCAACUGGGGGAAACGAAUGAAAGAAAAGACAAGUUUCCUGUCCCUCCUUCUAACUUCAAUGAAUCCUUCAUGUUGGGAAGUAUCACGUUUCUUGAACCAGCAGAACUGGAAUGCUGAAAGCUUGUGAGAGGAAGCUUUAGCUGAACACAGACCAAGAUGCUGGGCCCAGUCCUCUUCUACCAUAAAUGGAUGGAGCCCCAUCCAUGAAAAGUGUGCCAUUUGAUAGUAUUUACACUUUUUCCAUGGUACUAACAAGCCUCUUUUCCAGCUGCAAACUUUUGCUUUGUUCUCUGACUCUGAUUUUCUAAGAGCUGUAUAUUUGCUUAGUAAUAUUUACUAAGGGAUUCAGUGCCCAAAAAACUUUGAUGCAUUUAUCACACUCCCUGCUUUUGGCUCUAAUUCUCCUCUAAUGCUUUUAAUCAAUGUGAAAUAAUGUGUGAUGGUAGUGGCAGUGUCUUUGGUGAAAGCUGCAGGAGAAUCAGGCCACACAUAUUCUUGUUAUUUAUACACCCAGAAGUUUCUGCUCUGAGAGUGAUUAUAGGAGUGUCAGCACCAAAAGUGACUUUGGCAACAGGACUACUUCCCCAACAGACUUAUCUUGCCUUGCCAUCAAGAAGCCCUCCUCAGAUAUGCCCAAGCUUCCUUGGUUUUUGUUGGUUGUGUGGCCUACAUGGCAUGUCCUUUAGCUCAGCCUCGUGCUUCCUGUGUCUGGACUAAGUCAAACAGAAGGUCCAUCCAGAUGGUUUGUGUUCAAAGUGCUGGCACCAGAGAGAUAUGUGAAUGCCCAGAUCAGGCCACCACUUCACACAGUAGCCACAAUGGCAAAUCAUGGGAUUCAGUAGGAACUGUAAAGAUCUUGGGGAACAAAAGAGGGCCUGGGAGAUUGGAGCCUUCCCUGCAGCAACCAAUGAGUUGUGUGUAGUGCCUUUCAGAAGAGUGAUUUUGAUAAGAGGAAUAGCUCAGGCUGUUGAAAGUGGUCUUCCUAGGCUUCUUCAAGGAGGAAUUACUAAUUUAUCAGUUGAUAUAAAUACUGAAUACAUAAUAUAAAUACAUAAAAGAAAUACUGAAUACAUUAUAUAAAUACAUAAUAUAAAUACAUAAAAUACUGGUUUAAUUAGUUGACUGGCUUCUGCAUCAUAUCAUUGAUUCAGAUGAUGAAGAUCUUAAUUAAGGCUAAGGUCUAUCACUGCAUGCAGCAGUCACUUUCUCUGUCUACUUCCUGGGGAUCUUUCAGCUUCAGGAAGUGAUAAACAAUAAAAAACCCAUUUUGUAGAGUUUCUGAUGAGUUGUGUGGGCCAGUCAAAAGGGAACAAAUACUUCCGAGAAGUCUUUGAAUGACUAUGAGUGAGUCUCUGGUUAUCAUGCAACUGGAAAGAAAUAAUAUCCUUUAUAACAUUUCAGUUUUUUCAAUUGCUCAUUGUUGCUUGUGAUUCUGGUUGCCAGGAUUUAAUGACCAUAAAUCUUCAUGUGAAAGCAAUGACUUGUAUUUUCAUUUAUGUAAGAUGUGUUAAUAUGCAUUAAGAUAUGGGAAUCAAAUCCCAGAAUAGACCAGACUUCAAAGGACAUCUUAAUGCAAUCUGAACAGAACAUUUGCAGUUCUAGCUAUAGUCCAAAUCCUACUGGCUCAGACUUCUUUCCAUGAUUCUUUGCAGAUUUAAUCUGUAGGCAGCUUAGGCUGGCUGGUCCAUAAUUUCUUAAAAGCAAAUCUUCAAUCACAACUUUAGAUAUCUCCAGGAAUAUCAGUUUUAACACAGAAAAAUCUUCAUGUAAAAGAUCUUGUCACUGUGGCAGAAUAGUAAAGAGAAGGCCCUUGGCCAGGCUUGAGUGAUUUUGUGGAUCAUUAUGAUUAGAUUUUUGCUGCUACUAUAUCCAACUAGUGCCUAUGCUGUAUCUAAAUAACAGCUCUAUCAAGCAUUAGAAAGGAUUUUAGUAGGUUGUUGUGUCACAAGCUUCACAGAGACCCCUUUCUUUCUAAAUUUCACAAAGAUGCCUAGGUGUGGUUAGAUCCAUUUAGUCUCAGUUUUGAUCAACAACUUAUGUUUUAAGGGUUAUAAUAUAAGAAGAUUCAGCUAGAAAUGUAAAGGUUUAAAGUUUUUGGCCUUGCAGAUUGGCAAUUACAAAACAACCAAGCAUCUACGUAACUACUUUAGGAUUUUAUCUCCCCUAUUUGAUCAGAUUUAGUGCUUUUUACUCUCCAGUCCAGAAAUUAGUGUUCCCACUUUUGUGCUGGACAUACACUGCUGAUGUCCCUGCCAGAGAUGGGGAUCUAUCCAGACAGCUCAUCUUGAAAUAUUCACCUGGUGUUCUUAUCUCGGGGCAAACCACAUGGCCCAUCAGACAGGGAAAGUGUGUGUGUACAUGAGGAUACAUGCAAAGACACAACUUUCAUCACCACCACAGUCAUUCUUUGUCCUGUCUGCAACUUCUUAUGCAUUCAGUGUUGCAGCAUGAAAUCAUUUGUCCUGAUUGCUUAGUCAGCCUCCAAUACAAUAUAACUGGUUAUGCCUAUAGCUGAUAUCCUGCUGUUACUUUAACUUCAGCAGUAAGAUGAAAAUGCCACAACUGCAUUUCAUUUUCUGGAAAACAUGGUUCACUUGUGAUCAUUGAGUUCUUGCCAUCAUUUGAGUGGUUUAACUGAAAAAAUUAAUUUUAACCAAGAGAUUUGUGUCCUUAUGUGUACUAACUAAAUACACAUUAAGACUCCAUCCUAGGUAAUCGUGUGCUAUCCCAUAGCUUUAUUUUCAUAAUCAUUCAGUGUGUUAUGAGAAAAAGAAAAGAAGGUGCUUCAGAAAACUUGUGGCUUACUGAGGGAGCAGUGCUUAUUCUCCAUGAGUUACAAUUCACUCUUGAAACAUUCAAGUAAAAUCUGCUGCUUGAAAUCUGGUGGGAACUCCAGUCUGGUCCCCUGGAAUUCUAAGUAUAAUGCUGACCCAUGCUCUUCAUAAAGUAGAGGGCAGCAAUAUGAUGAUAAGCUCUAUGUGAAACUGAAUAUCAUCAGCUGAGUCACACAUGCCCUGCUGCUGCCUCUGGGCAACCUGCUCCACCCGAGUCAUGCUGCUUCUGCUAGGUAUCAUAAUCAGCUAUGUUAAGGUUCCAAAUAUAUAAAUAUAUAUCUGAGACACUUUGCAGUGAGUGCCAUCUAUGCUUUGAUCUAUCCUUGAGCGUUCAAAUAUGUUGGAAAAUCUGGAAUAACAGGCUGCAUUGUCUACAAAUGUUACCUACGAACAUAGUGAAACAUAAUGGAAGAAACAAAAAACCCUAUCACUGAGCUGGGAGUGGUGGAACCUUGCCUAUGCUUCACCUCCACCCUCAAUUAAAAAAUUAUCUCAGGCACAGCAGCAUUCAUGGCUUCCUGGCUUUUGACACUGGAACUAGUCAUUUGCAAUGAUUUCUAGGAAGGUUGAUGAGCACACUGUUGUAUUACCAAUUCUUUCCACAAACCUUUGGACCACUAAAUUUCCACAGCAAUUCUCUGGGAUUGGGUUGCUUCACCAUGGACUCAUCAUCAUCAUCUUGUCCAGGCACUGCAUCAGUCAUAAAUGGAGCUGCCAUAAGGUUUGCAUACACUGUGUAAUGAAGAGGGCUGGCAUCAGUACAUUGUACAAUGGCCCUUACGAUAUUCUAGCAUUAAAACUACAGGAAAACAGCUGCCUGUUAGAGUAAAUAACCUGUACCAUUUGGAUCUUUGCAUUAUGCUCUAACAGAAUCUUCUGGCUUCUUCUUGUCCAUUCUGACGAUCAUAUUCUCUGGUCUCUUCACCCAAGUAACAAGCAAUAGGAGAACAAGAGGAGAUGGCCUCAAGUUGUGCCAGGGGAGGCACAACUGCCAUCCAUGCUGGCAGUGCAAAGCAAUGAGAACUAUUAGCAUGGGAUCCACUUAAGUAUCUUAAAUAUCUGCCUAAGGUGAAGAACAGUGUCUCGAUAGUUUGUGUUAGUUAGACUGACUAGAUGCCCAUUGACUCUAAGAACAAUUUACAGUGAUUAACUCCUGUGUAAAUGUCCACACUGUACCUUUCAACCAUCAGGCAAAUGGUGUUCCUAAUACACAAAGUAGCUGAUUCCACCUUAAUUUAUUGAGGUUUCAGGGGAAACUUAGAGAAUCCAAGUAUUUGUAUAAAAUAGCUCUUAUUUUGCUUGGUAGUCCUACUUCUGACCUACUUUACUUCUUCUACUGCUGCCAUUGCUGCUUUCCAUUGGAGUGACAUGGAACAUAUGUGUUAGGGCACAUAGAACAGAACAGGGCACAUUACUUCUCCCAGGAAACUUGGUUCUGGUUUCCCAAGGCUGUGCUCUCCUUAGGCAUCAGCGGUGCAUCAAUUGCAGAAAGCACUCAGCAUGCCUUAAGAGCAAAUUAUUUUGACUUAGGUGUCUUCCAUGCAGUUUGAAUGCUCUUGUCCCAGGCUUUAGCUGUGAAGGAAGGACAGUUGUGACACUGGGCUUUGUGUUGGAACAUCAAGUAAAGAAAGUACUCCCAUUUUUAUUACCCCAAAUGAAGGAUUCUCUUUCCUCUCUCCUAGCUGCUACUCAGAUUUUCGAAGAAGAAAAGGCUAGCACAUUUUUUGGCACAGAAACUCUUCCAGAUUGUGUCUUAUUUCUUUGAACUAUGCAGGCUAAGAUAAUGAUAUAAGGAUAAUUAUAUUUCAUGCUUCAAACUGAAGUUGAUAGGAGAGAAAUAUCCUUCUGUGUGGAGCUUCUACAUCAUGUUUAAAACAUCUGUUAUUAGCUGAAGCCAGAAAGACCUAUGCAUGUACUUAAUGAAUAUAUUUAAAGAAUAGAGAAAACAACCAGCAUUAAAAAUUUUUUAAAAACUCUUUUUCCCCUUACAUUAGCUAAUCUGAUAUUUCAGUUGCAUCAACAGUGAGAUUGUCAAUGAUAUAUUCCAUACACCUGAAAAGUAAUUCACUAGCAGCUUCAAAACAUGCAGCUUCCAGAAAAAGAUAAUAGUAAAAUUAUCUUUAUACACAAAAGUUCUUACCACAUGAAAAAAAAAAGCUUAAAGAUAAGUAAAGAAUGCUUCUUUAGAAACAAGUUCACCAAAAAGCAAAGAAAACCCAUUGAUUUGCUACUCUAAUAAUUCAACUCCGCAUGCAGCAGAGAUUAGGUCUAGAAAUCAAGAGGCUGUUUCCUGAGGGCUGCUGAGCUCUGUCGCCAAGGGACAUCAUGUGAGGCUUUCUAUAACCUCUCUACAGCCCCUGUCACUAUUCAGGAAGCUGAGUAGUGAUGUAUUGAAGGCUGCUUCAAAAUUAGUUCUUAGAUUGCUGCAAAGGGCCUGGGUUGCCCCUCUUUUAGGUUUUGCCCAUUUUAAAACCAUACUGAGUGAACAUAGGUCAUGCAAAUGAAAAAAUAUUAAUAAGGAAACUUCUUGGGACUUAGAAGAAGGCUUCUUCUGAGAUCUUUGUUGCUGGGAAGGGAGCUGGAGGAAGAGCACUCCAGUAAUGCAACAGUAUGCAGUGAGGCAUGGCUGGCAUUUGCCUGUCUGCUGGAAUAUGAAGCAGCAGGACUUCUGUGUGACAACUGGCAGGACGAGUGAGCAAAAUGCCUUGUGAAAUAAAUGAAAGCCAUCUCCUGAAAUGAAGAAUGGUGGUGGACUGAGAAUGAUUGUGCUCACACAAAAAAUCUGAGAUGUGAAUCCUUCCUCUUUUAUCAUUUCACCUAUAAUGCUCUUGGUGUAGAUGCUUUCAUAAGAGGGAAGUGGAAUGCAAUUGAAAACCUUAUGUUAUCAAAUUAAUACCUCUGGAAGAAGAAGAAGGAAUUCCUUUGUUGCCUUCAUUUAGCCUCCAGUGUAGAUUUUGUAAAAUUCUAGAAAUUUUGCUUUCCUUCUUGUCCAUUUAACUUAAAGAAUAAUUGAAUAACUCCUUAUCUUUUUUUCUUUCCAGCACUAACUAGUUUUGAUACUUUACAUUUGAAUCAUUGUGAGGUCUUGAAGGUGUGACAAAUACAUCAAUAAAUAAAAAGCUAUAACUUUGGAGUUGGUUCCAAAUUUGUGAUUUGUGAAAAGGGACAGAAUAUCAAGACCACCAGACUCUGGUAAGGAUAACUCUUUCACACUAUUAGGGUAAUAAAGGGCUGCAGAACAUAAAGUGGUGCCAUUUGGAAAGGGGCUGGGGCAGCAUCUGACAGGAUAUUUGACAAAGCAGUUUGUUUGUACGUCUCUUGCUGUACACAACAUGAAGCUGAGCACUGGCAGAAACUGUCUGAGUGAAAGGAUGUUAUUAGGUCCCCCUUGCCUCUGUGACUGGCAACGUGACUGUAGCUGACUGAUUAGUGAAAUUGUUGAUCAUCAUUUUUAGUCUUGAAAUUGCAGGGCUGUGGUUUUUAUUUUGUUUUGCAUUGUUGUUAGAGAACAGGAUAAUAAUUCAUGAUGUGACCAUAUAGGCAAUAAUAAAAAAUCCCAUAAAACAAAAACCUUUGCAAAGCAGUUGGUAUUCAGUUCUCCGACAGGCAGAAUUUAGAAUAAAAGGUUGCUAACAUUUUGGCAGUGUUUUCCUCAGGCUU